UAAUACAUGCAAGUAGAACGCUGAAGAGAGGAUUUUGCUCUUCUUGGAUGAGUUGCGAACGGGUGAGUAACGCGUAGGUAACCUGCCUUGUAGCGGGGGAUAACUAUUGGAAACGAUAGCUAAUACCGCAUAACAAUGGAUGACACAUGUCAUUUAUUUGAAAGGGGCAAAUGCUCCACUACAAGAUGGACCUGCGUUGUAUUAGCUAGUAGGUGAGGUAACGGCUCACCUAGGCGACGAUACAUAGCCGACCUGAGAGGGUGAUCGGCCACACUGGGACUGAGACACGGCCCAGACUCCUACGGGAGGCAGCAGUAGGGAAUCUUCGGCAAUGGGGGCAACCCUGACCGAGCAACGCCGCGUGAGUGAAGAAGGUUUUCGGAUCGUAAAGCUCUGUUGUAAGUCAAGAACGAGUGUGAGAGUGGAAAGUUCACACUGUGACGGUAGCUUACCAGAAAGGGACGGCUAACUACGUGCCAGCAGCCGCGGUAAUACGUAGGUCCCGAGCGUUGUCCGGAUUUAUUGGGCGUAAAGCGAGCGCAGGCGGUUUGAUAAGUCUGAAGUUAAAGGCUGUGGCUCAACCAUAGUUCGCUUUGGAAACUGUCAAACUUGAGUGCAGAAGGGGAGAGUGGAAUUCCAUGUGUAGCGGUGAAAUGCGUAGAUAUAUGGAGGAACACCGGUGGCGAAAGCGGCUCUCUGGUCUGUAACUGACGCUGAGGCUCGAAAGCGUGGGGAGCGAACAGGAUUAGAUACCCUGGUAGUCCACGCCGUAAACGAUGAGUGCUAGGUGUUGGAUCCUUUCCGGGAUUCAGUGCCGCAGCUAACGCAUUAAGCACUCCGCCUGGGGAGUACGACCGCAAGGUUGAAACUCAAAGGAAUUGACGGGGGCCCGCACAAGCGGUGGAGCAUGUGGUUUAAUUCGAAGCAACGCGAAGAACCUUACCAGGUCUUGACAUCCCGAUGCUAUUUCUAGAGAUAGAAAGUUACUUCGGUACAUCGGUGACAGGUGGUGCAUGGUUGUCGUCAGCUCGUGUCGUGAGAUGUUGGGUUAAGUCCCGCAACGAGCGCGACCCCUAUUGUUAGUUGCCAUCAUUCAGUUGGGCACUCUAGCGAGACUGCCGGUAAUAAACCGGAGGAAGGUGGGGAUGACGUCAAAUCAUCAUGCCCCUUAUGACCUGGGCUACACACGUGCUACAAUGGUUGGUACAACGAGUUGCGAGUCGGUGACGGCAAGCUAAUCUCUUAAAGCCAAUCUCAGUUCGGAUUGUAGGCUGCAACUCGCCUACAUGAAGUCGGAAUCGCUAGUAAUCGCGGAUCAGCACGCCGCGGUGAAUACGUUCCCGGGCCUUGUACACACCGCCCGUCACACCACGAGAGUUUGUAACACCCGAAGUCGGUGAGGUAACCUUUUGGAGCCAGCCGCCUAAGGUGGGAUAGAUGAUUGGGGUGAAAUC
rnacentral:rRNA from 1 species